UGAAUUGUGAUGUCACGGAAAGCAACCCGACAGGGGUCCUGGGUACCCCCCUCCAUUGUCUGUGGGCUAUAAAUUGGGGCACAGGAGCCAGGCAAGGCCCCAGACGCAGGCAACAGCAGUCAAGUACACAUCACCGCCUAGCCAUGGCUAAGGUUACCUGCCCUCUACGUGCGGUGCACAGACAGCCCCAACGCCCGAGGGUCCAAAGCCGUAAACGAAGAUACAAGCCCCCGAGUCAGAGACUAAAGAGGAGAAGAGUUCAGCGGAGGAGGAAGAGGCAGUCACCCCGGCAGAGAAGGAACUGACUUGGCCCCUGCCAGCCCCCGAAGAUCAACCUGUAGCAGGAGUACCAUGUUGCUGAACACACACCUGAUGUAGAUGAACCAACUAGCACGUCAUCAGAAUUUAGAUCAACCUGUAGCAGGAGUACCAUGUUGCUGAACACACACCUGAUGUAGAUGAACCAACUAGCACGUCAUCAGAAUUUGUAAUCCAAGUGUAACAUUCCAAUAAACGAGUAAUGAACAUG